rnacentral:misc_RNA from 1 species
GAUGAAGAACGCAGCGAAAUGCGAUAAGUAAUGUGAAUUGCAGAAUUCAGUGAAUCAUCGAAUCUUUGAACGCACAUUGCGCCCGCCAGUAUUCUGGCGGGAAUGCCUGUCCGAGCGUCAUUUCAACCCUCGAACCCCUCCGGGGGGUCGGCGUUGGGGAUCGGCCCUGCCUCUGGCGGUGGCCGUCUCCGAAAUACAGUGGCGGUCUCGCCGCAGCCUCUCCUGCGCAGUAGUUUGCACACUCGCAUCGGGAGCGCGGCGCGUCCACAGCCGUUAAACACCCAACUUCUGAAAUGUUGACCUCGGAUCAGGUAGGAAUACCCGCUGAACUUAAGCAUAUCAAUAAGCGGAGGA